rnacentral:misc_RNA from 1 species
UACAGAGAGUGCAAGCGUUAAUCGGAAUUACUGGGCGUAAAGCGCGCGUAGGUGGAUUGGUCAGUCGAAUGUGAAAGCCCUGGGCUUAACCCGGGAACUGCAUCCGAUACUGCUAGUCUAGAGUAUGGUAGAGGGAAGUGGAAUUUCCGGUGUAGCGGUGAAAUGCGUAGAUAUCGGAAGGAACACCAGUGGCGAAGGCGGCUUCCUGGACCAAUACUGACACUGAGGUGCGAAAGCGUGGGGAGCAAACAGG